rnacentral:misc_RNA from 1 species
GAUGAAGAACGUAGCGAAAUGCGAUAAGUAAUGUGAAUUGCAGAAUUCAGUGAAUCAUCGAAUCUUUGAACGCACAUUGCGCCCGCCAGUAUUCUGGCGGGCAUGCCUGUCCGAGCGUCAUUUCAACCAUCAAGCCCCCGGCUUGUGUUGGGGACCUGCGGCUGCCGCAGGCCCUGAAAAGCAGUGGCGGGCUCGCUGUCACACCGAGCGUAGUAGAUCUCAUCUCGCUCAGGGCGUGCUGCGGGUUCCGGCCGUCAAACCACCUUCUUAACCCAAGGUUGACCUCGGAUCAGGUAGGAAGACCCGCUGAACUUAAGCAUAUCAAUAAGCGGAGGA